CUCUUAAAUAUUUACAAAUAAAUGAUCUCACAAAAUCCUAGUACAAAAACUUUAAGCUCAAAUUAUACAAGAAAACUAGGAUUGAAUGGUGCACUAAAGAUAUGCAAGUUUUAGAACAAUAGUGCACUAAAAAACACUCUUCCAAGACUCAAAUAUAUUCAAGAAAGGUUUAGGAAGGUUAAGCUCUUGAAACAAUGAAGAUUGGAGCCUUUUUAUAGAAGAAAAAAGUCAAACUAGCCGUUGAGGGUUCGACCGAUUG
rnacentral:lncRNA from 1 species